rnacentral:rRNA from 1 species
UGCUUAACACAUGCAAGUCGAACGGAAAGGCCCUUCUUUUGUGGGGUGCUCGAGUGGCGAACGGGUGAGUAACACGUGAGUAACCUGCCCUUGACUUUGGGAUAACUUCAGGAAACUGGGGCUAAUACCGGAUAGGAGCUCCUGCUGCAUGGUGGGGGUUGGAAAGUUUCGGCGGUUGGGGAUGGACUCGCGGCUUAUCAGCUUGUUGGUGGGGUAGUGGCUUACCAAGGCUUUGACGGGUAGCCGGCCUGAGAGGGUGACCGGCCACAUUGGGACUGAGAUACGGCCCAGACUCCUACGGGAGGCAGCAGUGGGGAAUAUUGCACAAUGGGCGGAAGCCUGAUGCAGCAACGCCGCGUGCGGGAUGACGGCCUUCGGGUUGUAAACCGCUUUCGCCUGUGACGAAGCGUGAGUGACGGUAAUGGGUAAAGAAGCACCGGCUAACUACGUGCCAGCAGCCGCGGUGAUACGUAGGGUGCGAGCGUUGUCCGGAUUUAUUGGGCGUAAAGGGCUCGUAGGUGGUUGAUCGCGUCGGAAGUGUAAUCUUGGGGCUUAACCCUGAGCGUGCUUUCGAUACGGGUUGACUUGAGGAAGGUAGGGGAGAAUGGAAUUCCUGGUGGAGCGGUGGAAUGCGCAGAUAUCAGGAGGAACACCAGUGGCGAAGGCGGUUCUCUGGGCCUUUCCUGACGCUGAGGAGCGAAAGCGUGGGGAGCGAACAGGCUUAGAUACCCUGGUAGUCCACGCUGUAAACGGUGGGUACUAGGUGUGGGGUCCAUUCCACGGGUUCCGUGCCGUAGCUAACGCUUUAAGUACCCCGCCUGGGGAGUACGGCCGCAAGGCUAAAACUCAAAGGAAUUGACGGGGCCCCGCACAAGCGGCGGAGCAUGCGGAUUAAUUCGAUGCAACGCGUAGAACCUUACCUGGGUUUGACAUGGAUCGGGAGUGCUCAGAGAUGGGUGUGCCUCUUUUGGGGUCGGUUCACAGGUGGUGCAUGGCUGUCGUCAGCUCGUGUCGUGAGAUGUUGGGUUAAGUCCCGCAACGAGCGCAACCCUUGUUCACUGUUGCCAGCACGUUAUGGUGGGGACUCAGUGGAGACCGCCGGGGUCAACUCGGAGGAAGGUGGGGAUGACGUCAAGUCAUCAUGCCCCUUAUGUCCAGGGCUUCACGCAUGCUACAAUGGCUGGUACAGAGAGUGGCGAGCCUGUGAGGGUGAGCGAAUCUCGGAAAGCCGGUCUCAGUUCGGAUUGGGGUCUGCAACUCGACCUCAUGAAGUCGGAGUCGCUAGUAAUCGCAGAUCAGCAACGCUGCGGUGAAUACGUUCCCGGGGCUUGUACACACCGCCCGUCAAGUCAUGAAAGUUGGUAACACCCGAAGCCGGUGGCCUAACCGUUGUGGGGGAGCCGUCGAAGGUGGGACUGGUGAUUAGGACUAAGUA